rnacentral:rRNA from 1 species
AGGAUAGAGGCCUACCAUGGUGGUAACGGGUAACGGGGUGUUAGGGCACGACACCGGAGAGGGAGCCUGAGAAACGGCUACCACAUCCAAGGAUGGCAGCAGGCGCGCAAAUUACCCAAUCCCGACACGGGGAGGUAGUGACAAUAAAUAACAAUACGGGGUUCUUUAGGAUCUCGUAAUUGGAAUGAGUACAAUUUAAAUCUCUUAACGAGGAACAAUUGGAGGGCAAGUCUGGUGCCAGCAGCCGCGGUAAUUCCAGCUCCAAUAGCGUAUAUUAAAGUUGUUGCAGUUAAAAAGCUCGUAGUUAAAUUUCGGGGUUAGUAGGUUGGUCAUGCCUCUGGUAUGUACUGGUCUCACUGAUUCCUCCUUCCUUAUGAACCGUAAUGCCAUUAAUUUGGUGUUGCGGGGAAUUUGGACUGUUACUUUGAAAAAAUUAGAGUGUUUAAAGCAAGCUAACGCUUGAAUACAUUAGCAUGGAAUAAUGAAAUAGGACGUUCGAUCUUAUUUUGUUGGUUUCUAGGAUUGACGUAAUGAUUAAUAGGGAUAGUUGGGGGCAUUAGUAUUCAAUUGUCAGAGGUGAAAUUCUUGGAUUUAUUGAAGACUAACUACUGCGAAAGCAUUUGCCAAGGAUGUUUUCAUUAAUCAAGAACGAAAGUUAGGGGAUCGAAGACGAUCAGAUACCGUCGUAGUCUUAACCAUAAACUAUGCCGACUAGGGAUCGGAUG